CCCGCCCUCACUGCUUCCAUUUGAAAAAUAGCGGCGGGAGAUGAGUCCGAGAGUUAGAGCAAAAGCUUCCGAAAUAUGGGAAUAUUUAAUAUUUCAGGCCAACUGGUAAAAGAGUUGUCUGUACACUCUGUCAAACUUCACUUGGAAACACACAGGAGUAGUUCAAGACGUUUGGAGAGUUUUCUUUUCUCUCCUCCAUAUCACCUCCGGGGCUCCAAAGAUGCGCUCACAGAAAAGAAAAAGACAACAAAGCAGUAGGCCUACGCCGUCUUCACAACUCGGAGAUAAAUUGUAGCAGGCGCUACGAACCGGAGCAAAGCUGCCUGUAAGACAUAUUACGAGACAGCACGCAGGAGCUUCAGGUAGACACAACCAGAUGUGGCAUCGCGGGAAGAACCUGUGAAGAGUUCAGCUCGGAGUCGGUCGAGAAGAAAAGAGGGUAAAAUUUGAUCCGUUUGGUUAAGCUGCUGGAAGCGAGACAGAGUGUGCUGGCUGCGGGUGAGGUGGGCAUUUGGAAGUGCGCCACCAUAGAAAUACAGGACAACGCACCACAGACGUCUGCUAAAUGGACCGAAUUCAGACCGAAUGCUGCCGGUUACCUACAGCUCCAAGACGACGGUGGGUUAGGGGUUGACGGUGCUGCAUCUCGUGAGCGGGGAUAUUUGUUGUGUGUGCUGUGUGUGUCUCCGAUGCUG